rnacentral:tRNA from 1 species
GGUUGUGGCUCAAUGGUAGAGUGCUUGCCUAGCAUGCAUGAGGCACUGGGUUCAAUCCCCAGCACCA